rnacentral:rRNA from 1 species
UACGUAGGGUGCAAGCGUUGUCCGGAAUUAUUGGGCGUAAAGAGCUCGUAGGCGGUUUGUCGCGUCUGCUGUGAAAACCUAAGGCUCAACCUUGGGCUUGCAGUGGGUACGGGCAGACUAGAGUGCGGUAGGGGUGACUGGAAUUCCUGGUGUAGCGGUGGAAUGCGCAGAUAUCAGGAGGAACACCGAUGGGCGAAGGCAGGUCA